rnacentral:lncRNA from 1 species
UUAUUUAAUCGUGUCAGCGAUGUUAAUGGAUGUUAAUGUCAUUUUGUUUCCGAACAAAGAUAAUGUCAUUUGGAAGAAGCUUCUCUGAUAGUGUUACCGGCUUUUUCACAAUAAACUUUACAAAAAUGUCCCAAUGGAGUCUUUCUUGUAAUCUUUACUUUGAAAAUUAUCUAUCAACAAACAGAAAAUUGAAGAUUUAUUACAAUUCGGUAUUCUAAAGGUGAUGUGGAAGAUGGUAAUGGUGUCAUGGUAUGGAUAAAGUAGACUGAAACAUGUUGAAGGAUAGACACUAGAGAUUGAAGGAAUUAAUUCUUUAAUGAUAAUUAAAGAAUGUAAUAAAUGGAGACACUUAAAUUUUUGAAGACAAUGUUAUAGUUCAACAGGUAAUAGUUAUUUUGUGAAAAACAUUGUUCCUAAAUUAUUCUACUUAAGAUGCUCAUUUUGUAUUGUAGAAAAUGUAGAACAGAAAUUAUAUUAUACAUAACAGGGUUCGUCUGA